UACGAAGGGGGCUAGCGUUGUUCGGAAUUACUGGGCGUAAAGCGCGCGCAGGCGGUUCUUCAAGUCAGAGGUGAAAGCCCAGAGCUCAACUCUGGAAUGGCCUUUGAGACUAGAGAACUAGGGUACGGGAGAGGUGAGUGGAAUUCCGAGUGUAGAGGUGAAAUUCGUAGAUAUUCGGAAGAACACCAGUGGCGAAGGCAGCCCCCUGGGCCAACACUGACGCUCAGGCACGAAAGCGUGGGGAGCAAACAGG
rnacentral:rRNA from 1 species